rnacentral:tRNA from 1 species
UCGGGAAUGGUCUAAUGGCAGGACGUCGGGUUCUGGCCCCGUUAGUCUAGGUUCGAAUCCUAGUUCCCGAA